UAAGGAAUAUUGGUCAAUGGACGCAAGUCUGAACCAGCCAUGCCGCGUGAAGGAUGAAGGUCCUCUGGAUUGUAAACUUCUUUUAUCUGGGACGAAAACGGGAUUUUUAUCUCAAUUGACGGUACCAGAGGAAUAAGCACCGGCUAACUCCGUGCCAGCAGCCGCGGUAAUACGGAGGGUGCAAGCGUUAUCCGGAUUCACUGGGUUUAAAGGGUGCGUAGGUGGGCAGGUAAGUCAGUGGUGAAAUCUCCGGGCUUAACCCGGAAACUGCCGUUGAUACUAUUUGUCUUGAAUAAUGUGGAGGUAAGCGGAAUAUGUCAUGUAGCGGUGAAAUGCUUAGAUAUGACAUAGAACACCAAUUGCGAAGGCAGCUUACUACACAAUCAUUGACGCUGAGGCACGAAAGCGUGGGGAUCAAACA
rnacentral:rRNA from 1 species